CGUUAUCCGGAAUUAUUGGGCGUAAAGAGCUCGUAGGCGGUUUGUCGCGUCUGCUGUGAAAACUGGAGGCUCAACCUCCAGCCUGCAGUGGGUACGGGCAGACUAGAGUGCGGUAGGGGAGAUUGGAAUUCCUGGUGUAGCGGUGGAAUGCGCAGAUAUCAGGAGGAACACCGAUGGCGAAGGCAGAUCUCUGGGCCGUAACUGACGCUGAGGAGCGAAAGGGUGGGGAGCAAACAGGCUUAGAUACCCUGGUAGUCCACCCCGUAAACGUUGGGAACUAGUUGUGGGGUCCAUUCCACGGAUUCCGUGACGCAGCUAACGCAUUAAGUUCCCCGCCUGGGGAGUACGGCCGCAAGGCUAAAACUCAAAGGAAUUGACGGGGACCCGCACAAGCGGCGGA
rnacentral:rRNA from 1 species